rnacentral:rRNA from 1 species
UACGAAGGGGGCGAGCGUUGUUCGGAUUUACUGGACGUAAAGGGCGCGCAGGCGGCUCAUUUUGUCAGGCGUGAAAGCCCCGGGCUUAACCUGGGAACUGCGUUUGAUACGGAUGGGCUAGAGUUCGGGAGAGGAGAGUGGAAUUCCCAGUGUAGAGGUGAAAUUCGUAGAUAUUGGGAAGAACACCGGUGGCGAAGGCGGGCUACUGGGCCGAUACUGACGCUGAUGCGCGAAAGCGUGGGGAGCAAACAGG